rnacentral:rRNA from 1 species
UACGGAGGGUGCGAGCGUUGUCCGGAAUCAUUGGGCGUAAAGGGCGCGUAGGUGGCCCGGUCAGUCCGUGGUGAAAGCGCGGGGCUCAACCCUGCGUCGGCCAUGGAUACUGCCGCGGCUCGAGCACUGUAGAGGCAGGCGGAAUUCCGGGUGUAGCGGUGGAAUGCGUAGAGAUCCGGAAGAACACCAGUGGCGAAGGCGGCUCACUGGUCCGGUACUGACGCUGAGGUGCGAAAGCGUGGGGAGCAAACAGG